GAAACCACUUUCUCUAAGAAUGGAAGAGAAAACACAGCUAACAAAUUCACAGAGCUUUACAGAGUGGUAGCUUCACAAGUUUGGAAAAAUAAUGCUACAGCUCUCACAACAUAUAUAUCAAUGACAACUAAUGAGUCAUCAAAUUGGUUUUAGUAGUGGUUCAUUCCAAUAGAUUAUUACUGGCAUUUUAAUCUUUGAGGUAUUCCAUGCUUAACUCCGUUUCAAAAAGCACUUUAAAACUUAAAUCAAAGGACUAUAUAUAUAUAAGUUAGCCAUUUCAAGGGGAAAAAAAAGUAUGAUAAAAUAGCAGAAAGAAACUACCAGAAUCAUAAAAAGGCAUCAAUCUUAUACAUUAUACAUUGACUUUUAAAAGUCAACUGCAAGAAAACAACUGCACAGAACAACAUGUAUCCUGUAACACCACAACUUCUGAGGACUGCUUUGAACCUCACGCAACAGAAAAUCUUGCAUAAGAGCAGCACACGAAGGAUACAAGUGUUCUACUGCAAGGGAAGAGCUGAUUAUAAAAAUGAGCAAGAAUGCAAGCCUUGAAUUAAAUAAGCCAUCAGCAAGGAUGAUGGUAUCAAGACUGAAAACCUGCAGCAAGAGGCUAUGAAAUAAUAUCCUAAAAUCCUAAGGGGGAGAAAAAAAUCCCUAAGCCAAAAUAAAGCAGCUGCAUAGAAGCAGAUGAUUAGUGCAAAAGCAA